UGCGAGUUGCACGAAUUCAUCUUCGUAGCGAAUUGCUCAGUAACACGUGGCCAAUCUGCCCUAUGGAUACGGAUAAUCUCGGGAAACUGAGGCUAAUCCGUGAUAGCGCUCCUAUGUUUGAAUACAGGGAGCGUGAAACGCUCCGGCGCCAUAGGAUGAGGCUGCGGCCGAUUAGGUAGACGGUGGGGUAACGGCCCACCGUGCCGAUAAUCGGUACGGGUCAUGAGAGUGAGAGCCCGGAGACGGACUCUGAGACAAGAGUCCGGGCCCUACGGGGCGCAGCAGGCGCGAAACCUUUACACUGCACGACAGUGCGAUAGGGGGAUUCCGAGUGCGAGGGCAUACAGUCCUCGCUUUUGUGUACCGUAAGGUGGUACACGAAUAAGGGCUGGGCAAGACCGGUGCCAGCCGCCGCGGUAAUACCGGCAGCUCAAGUGAUGGCCGAUAUUAUUGGGCCUAAAGCGUCCGUAGCUGGCCGGGCAGGUCCGUCGGGAAAUCCACUCGCCUAACGAGUGGGCGUCCGGCGGAAACCGCUCGGCUUGGGACCGAGAGACCAGAGGGGUACGUCCGGGGUAGGAGUGAAAUCCUGUAAUCCUGGACGGACCACCGGUGGCGAAAGCGCCUCUGGAGAGCGGAUCCGACAGUGAGGGACGAAAGCUAGGGUCUCGAACCGGAUUAGAUACCCGGGUA
rnacentral:rRNA from 1 species